rnacentral:rRNA from 1 species
GAUGAACGCUGGCGGCGUGCCUAACACAUGCAAGUUGAGCGAUUCUCUUCGGAGAAGAGCGGCGGACGGGUGAGUAACGCGUGGGUAACCUGCCCUAUACACGCGGAUAACAUACCGAAAGGUAUGCUAAUACGGGAUAACAUAAGAGAUUCGCAUGGAUUUCUUAUCAAAGCUCCGGCGGUAUAGGAUGGACCCGCGUCUGAUUAGCUAGUUGGUGAGGUAACGGCUUACCAAGGCGACGAUCAGUAGCCGACCUGAGAGGGUGAUCGGCCACAUUGGAACUGAGACACGGUCCAAACUCCUACGGGAGGCAGCAGUGGGGAAUAUUGCACAAUGGGCGAAAGCCUGAUGCAGCAACGCCGCGUGAGCGAUGAAGGCCUUCGGUCGUAAGCUCUGUCCUCAAGGAAGAUAAUGACGGUACUUGAGGAGGAAGCCCCGGCUAACUACGUAG